UACGUAGGGUGCGAGCGUUGUCCGGAAUUAUUGGGCGUAAAGAGCUCGUAGGCGGUGUGUCACGUCGGCCGUGAAAACCUGCAGCUUAACUGUGGGCGUGCGGUCGAUACGGGCAUCACUGGAGUUCGGCAGGGGAGACUGGAAUUCCUGGUGUAGCGGUGAAAUGCGCAGAUAUCAGGAGGAACACCGGUGGCGAAGGCGGUUCUCUGGGCCGAUACUGACGCUGAGGAGCGAAAGUGUGGGGAGCAAACAGG
rnacentral:rRNA from 1 species